UGGGAAAAGCUAUACAACUUUAUUGAAAACAUGGAGUGGAAAAAUAAACCCUGCUCAUGAAUGGGAAAAUUCAAUUUUACAUAGAUGCUGAUUUUAUCCAGACUGAUCUAUAGAUUCAACUGGAUUCCAUUCUCCAUCUCAAGGGGUUUUUUGGGGGAAUUUGACAAGCUGAUUCUCAAGGUUACAUAGAAGAGCAAGGGCCAAGACUAGUGCUUAGGAGAUGACUCCCAAAGGGCACAGGGACAGAAAAAAUGACCAGUGGAACCAAAAAGAAAAAUUAAUUGUGGUAUUUCAGUGGAUCACUAUGCAGCAGGGAAAAGGAAUGCCAUACAGCUACACACAGUAAUCCAGAUACAUCUCAGCAACAUAAUCAAGUGAAAAGGCAAACUGUAAAAGAAUAAACUCAGCAUGAUUUCAUUCAUACAUUUGAAAACAUGCAAAGCCAACACAAACACAUUAAUAAAACUAUAAAGCAAAGCAAUGGAAUGACUGAAACAGGACCGUGUCUCCCCCACCAGGGAGGGGCAACAGCAGGAACUUCGAAGGAAAUGGUAACCUUCUCAAAUGCAGUGGGGGCUGUUGUUUCCUCUGAAUUUUAUAAAUGUGUUCUAGUAGCUACUCACUAAUUAAAACAACAAACAAACAAACAUGAGUCCAGGCACAGUGGCUCACGCCUGUGAUUCCAGCACUUUGGGAGGCCAAGGUGGGCAGAUCACCUGAGGUCAGGAGUACAAGACCAGCCUGACCAAUAUGGUGAAACCCCAUCUCUACAAAAAUACAAAAAUUAGCAGGGCGUGAUGGUGGCUGCCUGCAAUCCCAGCUACUCGGAAGGCUAGGGCAGGAGAAUCACUUGAACCCAGGAGGCAAAGGUUGCAGUGAGCCAAGAUCACGCCACUGCACUCCAGCUUGGGCAACAGAGCGAGGCUCCAUCUUGAAAAACAAAACAAAACAAAAAACAUGAAAAUAAGAUAUUGUGGGCCGGGCAUGGUGGCUUACACCUGUAAUCCUAACACUUUGGGAGGCCGAGGCAGGUGGAUCACCUGAGGUCAGGAGUUCCAGACCAGCCUGACCAACAUGGAGAAACCCCGUCUCUACUAAAAAUACAAAAAAAUUAGCCAGGCAUGGUGACACAUGCCUAUAAUCCCAGCUACCGGGAGGCUGUGGCAGGAGAAUCGCUUGUUCUGGGAGGCAGAGGUUUCGGUGAGCCGAGAUCACACCAUUGCACUCCAGCCUGGGUAACAAGAGUGAAACUCCGUCUCAAAAAAAAAGAGAGAAAGAAAAUAAGAAAUUGUGGAGGGCAAGGGAUGAAACGGGACAAGGUGAGUCUGCUAAUGCAUCUGUUCAGCCAAAGUGCCACGCACACCAAGUUCCUACUGUCACUAAAAAAUAACAACAGAGCAUGCCUUUUAGAAAAACAACCAGCCCAAGCAGCUUUGCAUGGGCAAAGCCUGUCAGACGGUGGGUUUCUCUGAAGGUUCUUGGGGGUCAAGCAUGUUCCUUCAUGGGAGGACCCUCCCAGCAGUAUCUAUGAACUUUCACUUA
rnacentral:lncRNA from 1 species